CCUACGGGAGGCAGCAGUGAGGAAUAUUGGUCAAUGGACGAGAGUCUGAACCAGCCAAGUAGCGUGAAGGAUGACUGCCCUCUGGGUUGUAAACUUCUUUUAUAUGGGAAUAAAAUGUUCCACGUGUGGGAUUUUGUAUGUAUCAUAUGAAUAAGGAUAGGCUAACUCCGUGCCAGCAGCCGCGGUAAUACGGAGGAUCCGAGCGUUAUCCGGAUUUAUUGGGUUUAAAGGGAGCGUAGGUGGAUUGUUAAGUCAGUUGUGAAAGUUUGCGGCUCAACCGUAAAAUUGCAGUUGAAACUGGCAGUCUUGAGUACAGUAGAGGUGGGCGGAAUUCGUGGUGUAGCGGUGAAAUGCUUAGAUAUCACGAAGAACUCCGAUUGCGAAGGCAGUUCACUGGACUGCAACUGACACUGAGGCUCGAAAGUGUGGGUAUCAAACAGGAUUAGAUACCCUGGUAGUC
rnacentral:rRNA from 1 species